UAUUCCACUUUCACUCUCACAUGCUUGGCAAAAAAUUUUAUGGCUAUUCUGAUGUUUCAUUUACUAAAGCAUACAAAUCAAUUGGAUUGGAUGGUCUGCGAACAUGCCAUGAAAACUUCAACUGGUGUUUUCUUUUUCUUUUCUUGCUGACAGAAAGAAUGGAAAAUAAGGUUCAAAAACAUGUGGUGAACUCUUGGUUAAUUUAUGACAUAUAUAACAGGAGAAAUGCAGGAGCUGGACUCUGCAAACCAUGGGUGGAAGAAAUAGUGGCCAAGCAUGACACCAGAGGAAGAGGACCUGAUAAGCAGGCUCCACCACCUGCUAGGGGAUAGGUGGAAACUGAUUGCUAAAAGACUGCCCGGCAGAACAGCAGAAGAAGUGGAGAGCCACUGGAAAAUGAAGGAGAGAGGAGAAUUUGCGGAGAACAAGAUCUAUAAGCCUGUCUGUAUGAGAUUGAGCCCAUCCUUUACGUUCACCGUGGAUGAACCAUUUGAAGAUACGAAACCAUCACAAACUGGAUGUUGAAAUCCAAGGUCCCUUCACUCCUCUAUUUGGACAGAUAAAUCCAUCCAUCGCAUGUCCUGAAAUGGUUGUACUUAAAAUCUAAGAAAACUUUGCACCACAAACCAUGUCUUGUAUUAGUUACCGGUGGAUCCUUCUCUAUUGCUAUUAUGUAUGUAACAUUUACCACCUAUGCUUCUUUAGAUGCCGAAUAUUCCAUCAUGUUCCAUUUUCAAA